GGGGCUGUAUCUCAGUGGUAGAGCAUCUGCUUUGCAUGCAGAAGAAUCCAUGUUCAAUCUCCAACGACUCCA